rnacentral:rRNA from 1 species
AUUGAACGCUGGCGGCAGGCUUAACACAUGCAAGUCGAACGAGUGGCGGACGGGUGAGUAAUGUUUGGGAAUCUGGCUGAUGGAGGGGGAUAACUACGGGAAACUGUAGCUAAUACCGCGUACCAUAGGAUGAGCCCAAGUGGGAUUAGGUAGUUGGUGAGGUAAAGGCUCACCAAGGCGACGAUCCCUAGCUGGUCUGAGAGGAUGACCAGCCACACUGGGACUGAGACACGGCCCAGACUCCUACGGGAGGCAGCAGUGGGGAAUAUUGCGCAAUGGGGGCAAGCCUGAUGCAGCCAUGCCGCGUGAAUGAAGAAGGCCUUCGGGUUGUAAAGUUCUUUCGGUCGCGAGGCGUUACCGACAGAAGAAGCACCGGCUAACUCCGUGCCAGCAGCCGCGGUAAUAC